CAGACUACCAGUAGACCUGAAGUACCAGUAACGGGGACUACCAAUAGACCUGAAGUACCAGAAACAGUGUUUACGUUUCCAGAACCAAGCCGAUUUGGGCCAACAAAUUUGACCAGGAACCAAUGGUCAUGGAGGAAGUUCAAAGGUUGUUUUGGCAGCAAAAUUGCAAAUUAUGUUAAUAAAAAAGAUGCUUUAGAAAUUUACAAAGGGAACAAAAUUUAAAACAAAUUCAAGUUUCAGGCUUUGUACACAAGAUGAGGAGAAUGUAUCCCAAGAAUUGUAUUGCAAAAAAAUACGCUGACAUCAUCUCGUCACCAUUCUAUACCAUUACG